ensembl:lncRNA
AUGUUGGGUGGUGGACAUGGUGGUGGUAGUAGUGGGUGGAGGUGGUGGUUAUGGUGGUGGUGGAGCUGGUGUUGGUGUUGGGUGGUGGUUAUGUUGGGUGGUGGACAUGGUGGUGGUAGUGGUGGAUGGAGGUGGUGGUUAAGGUGGUGUAUGAGGUGGUGGUAGUAGUGGAUGGAGGUGGUGGUUAUGGUGGUGUAUGAGGUGGUGGUAGUAGUGGAUGGAGGUGGUGGUUAUGGUGGUGUAUGAGGUGGUGGUAGUAGUGGAUGGAGGUGGUGGUUAUGGUGGUGUAUGAGGUGGUGUUGGGUGAUGGUGUUGC